rnacentral:tRNA from 1 species
AUCUUUGUGGCAGAAUAUUGCAUUAGAAUUAGAAUCUAACUAUACUC